GGUGCCAUAGCUCAGUUGGGAGAGCGCCAGACUGAAGAUCUGGAGGUCCCUGGUUCGAUCCCUGGUGGCGCCA
rnacentral:tRNA from 1 species